CAAAAGACCGUUAAACUGGAGCGGAGCGCGCGAAUCCGCCGGGAGCUUCUUCUGAGGUCACAGUCGCUGCGGUACACGAGCUUCAUCACACUCACCGAACUGGAAGUUGGUGUAGUUGGGACAGACGUGGUAGCAGGCGCUGAGCAGCCCCUCCAUCAUCAGAGCCGUGCCCAUGGCGUAAUACAGGCCGAAGUGCUUGGGAAUGCCACACUCCUGAAGACAAACAUCUGAUCAGAACACAGCCAGAUCCACGGAGGCGUCUGUGUGUAUGAGUCAGUAUAAACCCACCACAGCUGUGCUUUCGUUUCUCUCGAGCGCACGUUUAUGAAGGAUGUCCCUCUGCAGGAUGAUGAGCAGGAAGAGCAGCCCCAGCAGCACAUAGCCCAGGUUACUCAGGAUGUUAUUGAAGGAGCUGAAAGCAUCACGACACUCACAUUUACAGCAGAUCUCAGCUGUUCAUGAACACCAAGAAACAUGACGCUCUGUUUAUUAGUGUUCUGCAGUGUCUGCCACUUUAAAUGCUUGAGCUCUUUGAAGCUGGAUUCUGAUUGGCUGUCAAAGGUUUUACUGUUCA